UUGAAUUUUCGUCCUCUAACAAUAUUUGCACUGCUGAUCAUAUAUCUUGUUCAUUUUUCUAUGAUUUGCUUGCUUUUCAGCUCAUUUCAAUGAGCUCUUUGUAAAGCAAGAAUAUCAAGUGUCCAUCUGUCAAAAGUUUUUAGUGGUUGAAAUAAAUUAUUUUCUUCCCUUUGUCUUAACAGAUGGAAUUCUUAAGCCCUCUUGUAUGAGGAAUUUCAGCCUGAUUCUAUUUAAAAACAAGAUAUAGGAAGUGGCAAGAGCCAAACUUUCACCUACUUUAAAGGACAAGUGAAUUGUAAGAAGGCAGCAUGAUGUACCCAAGGGACACUUGAAUGCUCAUCGUUGGGAAAAAAGCCAAACAUUCAUGCCUUUGAAAUCUGCAUAAAACUUGCAUGCCAGAACUCAAAAAGCUCACUCUUUCAAGUAGCUGUUUAAUAUCUUUCAAAAUGCUGAAUCUUCCAAAUUUUAAAUGAUGCUGCUCACAGAUUUUAAGGACCAUUUUGAGCAUCUAAGCACCAUUGUGAAAUAACACUGAGCAAAUCUUUAAGUUGGGAUCUGUCAGUGUAUCCUACAAGAUAAGUCCCAAUCCAGCCAGGGCAGUGUGUGCUAGAAAGGCUGAUAUGUAAAGGUUAGUGGAUUCCAGAUGUGCCUUUUUCAUUUUUUUGCCUUGUAAACUCAGAUGACUCCCUCAUGUGCCUUAUGGCUCAGUAUUUUCAUUUACAAAAUGAAAAUAAUAACUUUUCUAGCUAUCAAAUAGGUUGUUUUCCUCAUGAAAAGAAUUUAUGGUAAAGCCUUUUUUCUAAUCAUAUAGAACUUUCAAUUACUUUAAUUGUUAGGAACAAGACUUCUGUAGAUUAUUUUCAGCAAUAUCUUUUGGGUUCUCUGUUUUCCAACUUGUGAAAUGUUGUGAAGUACUUUUGACAAAAGCUAAUAUGAGAAUUUACUAUGAAAGAGGUGUAAACAUAUCCUUAAUUUCAUUUUAUCUCCUUUGUAUUUAAACAAUGUCACAUUUUGAUUAAACUUGCACAUUUUAGCUUCUUGUUAGGUCAUGUUCAAUGUGUAUCUUAAAAUAUAAGAAUGAACAGAAUUGGAAUCAACAAAUCCAAAACAAUCCUUUGCCCAAAAUGACAUAUGUACUAUGGGAAAUAAAAUAUUUAAGGUAUAUAAAGUAAGAUCUAAAAGAAUUUGACUAGAGAGAUUCUUAUGUGUUUCAAAUGUGUUUCUCUCCUAAUAUCUAAACAUUUGGGGAAAGUUUUUUUGUCUUUCAAAAGAGGAAUUGUUUUAAUGCUUAAAAUUCACAACAGUUAUAUAGUCCCCAAAUCCUCAUUGUUUUCUAAAGUUUACCUCAAAUCUGAGAGGCCUAAGCCACUUCAAAAUGAUUGAAACUUUAGUCAUAACCACACAAACUUUUCACUAAAGAGGGUGCUGUUACUAUUUAUUAUUAUUUAUUAUUUAAUUAUUGAAAUUGCCUGUGAAUGGCUCAGAUGAUCUGAAAAGCCACCCUUAUUCUGGAGAUUCACAUAACAUAGGAGCCCAGAUUAUCAUUCCUAAAAGAAUCAUUUUCUUAAACCGAUGAGUUGGGUUAAUUGUACCAGACCUGGCAGAAAGGAUAUGCUGUUAAACAUGUGGCAUGACUCCAGAACAUGUCUGCUCUUUUAUCU
rnacentral:lncRNA from 1 species